rnacentral:rRNA from 1 species
GACGAACGCUGGCGGCGUGCUUAACACAUGCAAGUCGAACGGAAAGGCCCUGCUUUUGUGGGGUGCUCGAGUGGCGAAAGGGUGAGUAACACGUGAGUAACCUGCCCUUGACUUUGGGAUAACUUCAGGAAACUGGGGGUAAUACCGGAUAGGAGCUCCUGCUGCAUGGUGGGGGUGGGAAAGUUUCGGCGGUUGGGGAUGGACUCGCGGCUUAUCAGCUUGUUGGUGGGGUAGUGGCUUACCAAGGCUUUGACGGGUAGCCGGCCUGAGAGGGUGACCGGCCACCUUGGGACUGUGAUACGGCCCAGACUCCUACGGGAGGCAGCAGUGGGGAAUAUUGCACAAUGGGCGGAAGCCUGAUGCAGCAACGCCGCGUGCGGGAUGACGGCCUUCGGGUUGUAAACCGCUUUCGCCUGUGACGAAGCGUGAGUGACGGUAAUGGGUAAAGAAGCACCGGCUAACUACGUG